rnacentral:rRNA from 1 species
AGUGAACGCUGGCGGCAGGCCUAACACAUGCAAGUCGAACGGCAGCACGGCAGUAGCAAUACUGUGGGUGGCGAGUGGCGGACGGGUGAGGAAUACAUCGGGAUCUACCCUGUUGUGGGGGAUAACGUAGGGAAACUUACGCUAAUACCGCAUAAGAACUGAGGUUGAAAGCGGCGGACCGCAAGGCGUCGCGCGAUUGGAUGAACCGAUGUCCGAUUAGCUAGUUGGCGGGGUAAAGGCCCACCAAGGCGACGAUCGGUAGCUGGUCUGAGAGGACGACCAGCCACACUGGAACUGAGACACGGUCCAGACUCCUACGGGAGGCAGCAGUGGGGAAUAUUGGACAAUGGGCGCAAGCCUGAUCCAGCCAUGCCGCGUGGGUGAAGAAGGCCUCGGUUGUAAGACCUUUGUCGGUAAGAAAGACAUCGUAUA